UUAAGUGACUAAGCGUACACGGUGGAUGCCCUGGCAGUCAGAGGCGAUGAAGGACGUGCUAAUCUGCGAUAAGCGUCGGUGAGGUGAUAUGAACCGUUAUAACCGGCGAUUUCCGAAUGGGGAAACCCAGUGUGUUUCGACACACUAUCAUUAACUGAAUCCAUAGGUUAAUGAGGCGAACCGGGGGAACUGAAACAUCUAAGUACCCCGAGGAAAAGAAAUCAACCGAGAUUCCCCCAGUAGCGGCGAGCGAACGGGGAGGAGCCCAGAGCCUGAAUCAGUGUGUGUGUUAGUGGAAGUGUCUGGAAAGGCGCGCGAUACAGGGUGACAGCCCCGUACACAAAAAUGCACAUGCUGUGAGCUCGAUGAGUAGGGCGGGACACGUGGUAUCCUGUCUGAAUAUGGGGGGACCAUCCUCCAAGGCUAAAUACUCCUGACUGACCGAUAGUGAACCAGUACCGUGAGGGAAAGGCGAAAAKAACCCCGGCGAGGGGAGUGAAAAAGAACCUGAAACCGUGUACGUACAAGCAGUGGGAGCCUCUUAAUGGGGUGACUGCGUACCUUUUGUAUAAUGGGUCAGCGACUUAUAUUCUGUAGCAAGGUUAACCGAAUAGGGGAGCCGAAGGGAAACCGAGUCUUAACUGGGCGUUAAGUUGCAGGGUAUAGACCCGAAACCCGGUGAUCUAGCCAUGGGCAGGUUGAAGGUUGGGUAACACUAACUGGAGGACCGAACCGACUAAUGUUGAAAAAUUAGCGGAUGACUUGUGGCUGGGGGUGAAAGGCCAAUCAAACCGGGAGAUAGCUGGUUCUCCCCGAAAGCUAUUUAGGUAGCGCCUCGUGAAUUCAUCUCCGGGGGUAGAGCACUGUUUCGGCAAGGGGGUCAUCCCGACUUACCAACCCGAUGCAAACUGCGAAUACCGGAGAAUGUUAUCACGGGAGACACACGGCGGGUGCUAACGUCCGUCGUGAAGAGGGAAACAACCCAGACCGCCAGCUAAGGUCCCAAAGUCAUGGUUAAGUUGGAAACGAUGUGGGAAGGCCCAGACAGCCAGGAUGUUGGCUUAGAAGCAGCCAUCAUUUAAAGAAAGCGUAAUAGCUCACUGGUCGAGUCGGCCUGCGCGGAAGAUGUAACGGGGCUAAACCAUGCACCGAAGCUGCGGCAGCGACGCUUAUGCGUUGUUGGGUAGGGGAGCGUUCUGUAAGCCUGUGAAGGUGUGCUGUGAGACAUGCUGGAGGUAUCAGAAGUGCGAAUGCUGACAUAAGUAACGAUAAAGCGGGUGAAAAGCCCGCUCGCCGGAAGACCAAUGGUUCCUGUCCAACGUUAAUCGGGGCAGGGUGAGUCGACCCCUAAGGCGAGGCCGAAAGGCGUAGUCGAUGGGAAACAGGUUAAUAUUCCUGUACUUGGUGUUACUGCGAAGGGGGGACGGAGAAGGCUAUGUUGGCCGGGCGACGGUUGUCCCGGUUUAAGCGUGUAGGCUGGUUUUCCAGGCAAAUCCGGAAAACCAAGGCUGAGGCGUGAUGACGAGGCACUACGGUGCUGAAGCGACAAAUGCCAUGCUUCCAGGAAAAGCCUCUAAGCAUCAGGUAACAUCAAAUCGUACCCCAAACCGACACAGGUGGUCAGGUAGAGAAUACCAAGGCGCUUGAGAGAACUCGGGUGAAGGAACUAGGCAAAAUGGUGCCGUAACUUCGGGAGAAGGCACGCUGAUAUGUAGGUGAAGCGACUUGCUCGUGGAGCUGAAAUCAGUCGAAGAUACCAGCUGGCUGCAACUGUUUAUUAAAAACACAGCACUGUGCAAACACGAAAGUGGACGUAUACGGUGUGACGCCUGCCCGGUGCCGGAAGGUUAAUUGAUGGGGUUAGCGGCAACGCGAAGCUCUUGAUCGAAGCCCCGGUAAACGGCGGCCGUAACUAUAACGGUCCUAAGGUAGCGAAAUUCCUUGUCGGGUAAGUUCCGACCUGCACGAAUGGCGUAAUGAUGGCCAGGCUGUCUCCACCCGAGACUCAGUGAAAUUGAACUCGCUGUGAAGAUGCAGUGUACCCGCGGCAAGACGGAAAGACCCCGUGAACCUUUACUAUAGCUUGACACUGAACAUUGAGCCUUGAUGUGUAGGAUAGGUGGGAGGCUUUGAAGUGUGGACGCCAGUCUGCAUGGAGCCGACCUUGAAAUACCACCCUUUAAUGUUUGAUGUUCUAACGUUGGCCCCUAAUCGGGGUUGCGGACAGUGUCUGGUGGGUAGUUUGACUGGGGCGGUCUCCUCCUAAAGAGUAACGGAGGAGCACGAAGGUUGGCUAAUCCUGGUCGGACAUCAGGAGGUUAGUGCAAUGGCAUAAGCCAGCUUGACUGCGAGCGUGACGGCGCGAGCAGGUGCGAAAGCAGGUCAUAGUGAUCCGGUGGUUCUGAAUGGAAGGGCCAUCGCUCAACGGAUAAAAGGUACUCCGGGGAUAACAGGCUGAUACCGCCCAAGAGUUCAUAUCGACGGCGGUGUUUGGCACCUCGAUGUCGGCUCAUCACAUCCUGGGGCUGAAGUAGGUCCCAAGGGUAUGGCUGUUCGCCAUUUAAAGUGGUACGCGAGCUGGGUUUAGAACGUCGUGAGACAGUUCGGUCCCUAUCUGCCGUGGGCGCUGGAGAACUGAGGGGGGCUGCUCCUAGUACGAGAGGACCGGAGUGGACGCAUCACUGGUGUUCGGGUUGUCAUGCCAAUGGCACUGCCCGGUAGCUAAAUGCGGAAGAGAUAAGUGCUGAAAGCAUCUAAGCACGAAACUUGCCCCGAGAUGAGUUCUCCCUGAGACUUAGAGUCUCCUGAAGGAACGUUGAAGACGACGACGUUGAUAGGCCGGGUGUGUAAGCGCAGCGAUGCGUUGAGCUAACCGGUACUAAUGAACCGUGAGGCUUAACCUU
rnacentral:rRNA from 1 species